UACGUAGGGUGCGAGCGUUGUCCGGAAUUAUUGGGCGUAAAGGGCUCGUAGGCGGUUUGUCGCGUCGGGAGUGAAAACCCAGGGCUUAACUCUGGGCUUGCUUUCGAUACGGGCAGACUAGAGGUAUGCAGGGGAGAACGGAAUUCCUGGUGUAGCGGUGAAAUUCGUAGAUAUCGGGAGGAACACCGGUGGCGAAGGCGGCGAUCUGGGUCGAUACUGACGCUGAGGUGCGAAAGCGUGGGGAGCAAACAGG
rnacentral:rRNA from 1 species